UACGGAGGAUCCAAGCGUUAUCCGGAUUUAUUGGGUUUAAAGGGUGCGUAGGUGGCCUAUUAAGUCAGGGGUGAAAGACGGUAGCUUAACUAUCGCAGUGCCUUUGAUACUGAUGGGCUUGAAUACAGUUGAAGUAGGCGGAAUGUGACAAGUAGCGGUGAAAUGCAUAGAUAUGUCACAGAACACCAAUUGCGAAGGCAGCUUACUAAAAGUGUGAUUGACACUGAGGCACGAAAGCGUGGGGAUCAAACAGG
rnacentral:rRNA from 1 species